GUGGUUGUGGCUCAGUGGUAGAGUGCUCGCCUAGCACGUGUGAGGCCCUAGGUUCGAUCCUCAGCACCACA
rnacentral:tRNA from 1 species